CGAAGGUCGGCGGCAAGUGCUUAGGAGAGAAGAGGAAGGCGGCGGUGGCUGCGGUUUACACGAGAGCGAGGUGACCUGCCCAGAAAGGUAGUUACAGUGAAUUGAUGUUCAUAUGAACUUCAAUGCUAUGACGUUUUUAUUAGAUCUGAGUUGCAAUCCUCAAUUUUUUUAGGUUUGAGUAGCAAUGCUCCUACUCUACUAGCUAUGACAUUUUCCAUGUUUUUUCUUCUAAUAUCGUAUAGCCUCCAUGCUUAUGGGUUCAACUUGACAAGCUUUUUUCAUCUUGCAUCCUGUUUUAAGCUCUGUUGAUGCUUGAUUUCUGCCAUGUUUAUGGAGGGAGAGGACGCCAAGUACUAGGAGAAGGAUCAGUUUAGCAAGUACAGGCUGUAAUUCUCUUAUAAUUAUGGAUUGCUGAGAAGCACAACCUUUUGAUCUUUGAGAACCGCAAGUUUGCUGACAUUGAAAACACAUUCAUUAUGCAAGACGAAUGAUCUGUGAAAGAAGAGAUGAAGAACAAUUUUAGCUGAAGAGUUGAAGAAGACCAAGGGUGCUUUGGAUGGUGGUCUUGAUAUUCC